AGGAUAGUAGUUUAAAGUAAAACUUUUAAGUUGCAUUUAAAAAAUAUUGAUUAAUAAUCUAUCUUA
rnacentral:tRNA from 1 species